GUUUUUUUUUUUUUUUUUUUUUUUAGGGUUGGGUGUUUUACUGUUGAGCUGCUCAGUGCCCAGCUUAGAGGACCAGGAAAAGGAGUCACCGGCCGUAUGCUGGAGGCUUGAGACACGGCACAGAGGCGCAGCUCGCCUCGCUAUGGUUGGUGGUGGCAGUGGAGAUUGCGAUUGCAGCGCGGCUGGAAGGUCCUUUAGGUUGUUUGAGGGACAUUGAUCAAGGAAACCGGAGAAACUUAAAAUGCUCUUCCGCUUCUUUGGAACAGUCACAGAGAAAAGUGAACUCCUUUCAUUCUUGCAGUAAUUUUUCUUGCUGAUGGGAACAGUUCAAGUCAAGUGACAUGUGAGGAACAUUUUGUGUUUAACGUAAACCUUCCUAUCCCAACUACAUUGAAACAGUAAUGAUGCAACAAGAUUUUGAAAGAACAAAGAGGAACUACAGAAUCAUUGCUUACAUUGACACCGGCCCUGUUGUCCCAAUGGAUGGGUUUUUUUUGGAUGAACGUCAAAAUUGACCCUGCUGUUAAAGCUUGAAACUUGGAUCUGUUGUAUCUGAGUUCUCUCCUCAAAAAAAGACCUUCAGGAAGUAUCAGAUAACUGAAACAUACCAGAUCACAGCACCACAUGCCUCCUGCCCCUCCCUAAUUUCUGUUCUCUUAUACAUUGUUAAAUUUUUUUCCUGCCCCUAUUAGUCAAGCCCAUGGAUUUGAGACUGAGCUUCCAGCUCCUGGGCCGCAGCACCAGGUUAAAGCUUUCUUCCUUGGCAGUACUUGUCACCUCAGUGACUGGCUUUUUCUCCGAUGAGCAGGAGGACCUGGACGAAACCCCUAGUGUUUGGUCAAGGAACUUGAUGCUCCCUAAAUCCAAAUAUUACGGUUAAAAGAAGAGAGAGGAAAUGUGUGCAGAGAAAGUGUAUUUUACAAAUGAAUUAAAGGUGGAUUCUGAGAUACAGGUUUAUAGAUUUACCUAGAGUUUUGAGUUCAGGAAGCCAUCAUUCUUUAGAGGGCAAUGACCAAACAGUACCAGCAGAAAUUGAAGUACCAGCAGAAGGCUAAGAAGGGAUCAUGGCACAAGCUGCAGUUUCCACCCUGCCCAUUGAAGAUGAGGAGUCCGUGGAAGAUGAGGAGUCCGUUGAAGAUGAGUCUGUUGAAGAUGAGUCCGCAGAGAACAGGAUGGUGGUGACAUUGCUCAUAUCAGCUCUUGAGUCCAUGGAUCAUGGCACAAGUUGCAGUUUCCACUCUGCCCAUUGAAGAUGAGGAGUUUGUUGAAGAUGAGGAGUCCUUGGAGAGCAGGAUGGUGGUGACAUUCCUAAUGUCAGCUCUCGAGUCCACGGUCAGACCUUCUGUUCUCACAUUCUGUAGUUUGGUAGGACUGGGCAGUAGAUAAGGUUGACUUAUUUUUGUAGAACUUACAAUUUUAUGAUUUUCAGUUGUAAUGAGUAGACCUUUUUCGUGAAUAGUAGUUAUGGUUAAACACCUCUAA